AACGUAGGAGACAAACGUUAUCCGGAGUUACUGGGCGUAAAGGGCGUGUAGGCGGUCUGUUAAGUCUGGCGUGAAAGCUCUCGGCUAAACCGGGAGAGGUCGUUGGAUACUGGCAGACUAGAGGACGGUAGAGGCGUGUGGAAUUCCGGGUGUAGUGGUGAAAUGCGUAGAUAUCUGGAGGAACACCGGUGGCGAAGGCGACGUCCUGGACCGGCAUUGACGCUGAGGCGCGAAAGCCAGGGGAGCAAACGGG
rnacentral:rRNA from 1 species